CCCGCUGCAAAUGUUUACACCUGUCCUAAGUCAGGAAUCUGAUGUACAGUAGUUGUCGUUUGUUUAUGUAAUAUAUACGUGUUUCUCGUUUCUCGUUUUGUUUAUAUAGAUUAGACCGUUGGUUUUCCCGUUUGAAUGGUUUUACACUAGUAAUUUUGGGGCCCUUUAUAGCUUGUUGUUCGGUGUGAGCCAAGGCUCCGUGUUGAAGGCCGUACUUUAACCUAUAAUGGUUUACUUUUUAAAUUGUUAUUUGUAUGGAGAGUUGUCUCAUUGGCACUCACACCACAUCUUCCUAUAUCUAU
rnacentral:lncRNA from 1 species